AGUUAAUAUUUUAUUGAAAUUUUUAUUUUUGUGAAUUUUACCUAAAAUAUUAAUAUUUGAUUAAAUUUAUUGAAAAAAUUUUAUUUUAUGAUAGUUUAUUUGUAUUGUGAAAGAUUGAUAUUAAUUUAAAAUAAGAAAAAUUAAUUUUUUGUACCUUGUGUAUCAGGGUUAAUUAAAUUGGUAUUAUAAAUAUUAUAUAUCUCGAAUCUAAAAGAGCUAAAAUUUUAUUUUUUAAAUGUUUUAUAAUUUUAUAUAAUAAAAUUUUAGAAGCGAAAUGUUAUUCGUUUUUUGUUAUAUCUAGUUUUUUGAGAAAUAAAUUUAAUUUAUUUAUUUUUAAAAUUAUUUUAAUUAUUAAUUUGAUUUUAGAAAAUAUUAAAUUUUCUUAGGGAAAAGCUUAAGAAAAUAUUUUUAUUUAGCCAAUAAAUUAGAUUUGUGAAUAGGAUUGUAAUUUUCCGUUUUUUAUAUAAUGUUAUAAUUAACUUAUUAUUUAUUAAUAUUUAUAUAGCUAAUAAAUUUUUUAUCAAAACGUUAAAUUUAAUUUAAAAAUUUAAGCGAUAAUGAUUAAAUUAGUAUAUUUUUAUGUAUUUAUAUAGUAACAUUUAAGUUAUAAAUAAUGAAUUCGGCAAUUUUAUUUUUCACCUGUUUAUUAAAAACAUGUCCUUUUGAUAAUAAUAUAAGGUCGGGCCUGCCCAAUGAUAAAGAUUGAAUGGCUGCAGUAUCUUGACUGUACUAAGGUAGCAUAAUCAUUAGUUUUUUAAUUGAAAGCUGGAAUGAAGGGUUUGAUGAGAAAAUAACUGUCUCUUUUAUAAAUAUAGAAUUUUAUUUUUAAGUAAGAAAGCUUAAAUUUGAUUAAAAGACGAGAAGACCCUAUAGAGUUUAAUAAUUUAUUUAUUCUUAUUAAUAAAGUCGUAAAUAUAAUUUUAAUUUAAUAAUUUAUUUAAUUGGGGUGAUUGAAAAAUUAGUGAAACUUUUUAUUAAUUAACUUUAAUUGAAGGAAUAGUUUGAUCCGUUAAUUGACGAUUAAAAGAAUAAAUUACCUUAGGGAUAACAGCGUAAUCUUUUUUUAGAGCUCUAAUCGAUAAAAGGGAUUGCGACCUCGAUGUUGGAUUAAAAUAAACUUCUAGGAGCAAAAUCUAGAUAGUUGAGUCUGUUCGACUUUUAAAAUUUUACAUGAUCUGAGUUUAAACCGGCGUGAGCCAGGUUGGUUUCUAUCUUUAAUAAAAGAAAGAAAUUUUAGUACGAAAGGACCAAAUUUCUAAUUAAUAAUUUUACAGUCGAAAAAAA
rnacentral:rRNA from 1 species